UGCCCCGUGGCUGAGUUGGUUACAGCGUCCGACUGUUAUUUGACUGUUUGCAUAUUACAUCGGAAGGUCGUGAGUUCGAGCCUCAUCGGGGCAG